GAUGAACGCUGGCGGCGGGCCUAACACAUGCAAGUCGAACGGAAAGACAGGAAGUGCUUUCUGGAACGGGUGGCGACGGGCGGACGAGUGAGGAGUACAUCGGGAUCGACUUGUCCGCGGGUGGGAUCGAAGGGAGGGAAACGGUAACAAAUCAUACAUAGGACGGCAGGGUGCAGGGGGUGGUGGGAACUUUGGUGCUAGUGGUAGCGGAUGACGGCGUGGCUUAUCGGCUGGGUAAAGGCACACCAAGGCAACGAUGCGGAGCCGGACUGAGAGGGUGAGCGUGCACACUGGAACUGAGACACGGUCCAGACUCCUACGGGAGGCAGCAGUAGGGAAUAUUACUCAAUGGGCGUAAGCCUGACCCAGCUACACCGCGUGAGUGAGGAAGGUCUCCGGCUUGUAAAUCUCUGCUCUUAGGGAAGAAAAGCAGCCCAUCUAGUUCGCCCUGUUGUGACGGUACCCAAAGAAUAAGCACCGGCUAACUACGUG
rnacentral:rRNA from 1 species